rnacentral:rRNA from 1 species
CAUAUUAAUAAGCGGAGGAAAAGAAACUAACAAGGAUUCCCCUAGUAACGGCGAGUGAAGCGGGAAGAGCUCAAGCUUAAAAUCUCCGUGCAAGUUUUGCGCGGCGAAUUGUAGUCUAUAGAGGCGUGAUCAGUGUGGGCGCUUGGGGCAAGUUCCUUGGAAGAGGACAGCAUGGAGGGUGAUACUCCCGUUCAUCCCUGAGUUGCUCGUGCGUACGAUCCGUUUUCUUUGAGUCGCGUUGUUUGGGAAUGCAGCGCAAAGUAGGUGGUAAAUUCCAUCUAAAGCUAAAUAUUGGUGCGAGACCGAUAGCGAACAAGUACCGUGAGGGAAAGAUGAAAAGAACUUUGAAAAGAGAGUUAAAGAGUACCUGAAACUGCUGAAAGGGAACCGAAUCGUUUCCAGUGUCUAUAAUCCGUGGUAUAUUUCAUUGGCGAGUGUGUGCGUGCGUGUGCUGUGGCAGCGGCUUUUUUGGCUGCGCUCGGCGUGUGUGCUGUGUGUGCUUGCUGGUGCCCUGUGCUGCGGUGGGACGUCAAGGUCAGUUCGUAUGCUGCGGGAAAUGGCCGCCGAGGAGGUAGGGCUUACGCUUGCGUUUGUCUGUUAUAUCUUGGUGGACGAGUAGUCGCGGUUGGGACUGAGGUGCCUACAACGUGUUUUUGAGUGGGCCUGUGUCUCUGUGUGCGCCGUGUGCGGAUAGCUUGCUAUGCGUGUGUGGUUGUGUGUGGAUUGAUGUGGGUUUUAACUUGUUGCCGUUCGGGACGUUGACGAAAUGGAGCGAUUUGAC